rnacentral:lncRNA from 1 species
GUGUCGCCGCCGAGGACGGCCGCGGCCUCUUCGCCGAUGAUGCUGCUGCCAACGGCGGAGCUUCACUCCCCGGAGGCCCGCGCCGAGAUGCGCCGUGUGGUUCGAGGAAAAUUCCCGAACCGUGCGAGCUGGCCAAGGAUCAUGGUGGACGUGAUUCGUGCGGCAUCCUUUGCAAAGAGAGUGCGAUUCAGCGGCGACAACGGAGGUAUGGACUACGAGCUUGUGUACUGGGCGAUGCGGGAGGCGGAAUCUCCAGAUCCAGCGGUGGCGGCGAAGUGGAGCGGCUUCAAAUCGGUGGUUCCAUUCCUGCGCAACAUCAACCCUCCCCCGAUGAUGGAACU